UUAACAGCCUAUCGUGUUAUCAAUGUGCAGGCAAGCGACGGGGAAGACAAAGGAAUAGAAGAGAAGAAAAGAGAAGGCGACAGAAAACAACUCGGGUCUGAAUUAGCUAUGAGAGGACGCGAAUGAAUGAUAGGUUUACUUACAUCUUAACCUAAACAGCUUAUCGUGUUAUCAAUGUGCAGGCAAGCGACAGGGAAAACAAAGGAAUAGAAGAAAAGAAAAGAGAAGGAGACAGAAAACAACUCGGGUCUGAAUUAGCUAUGAAAGGACACGAAUGAAUGAUAGGUUUACUAACUUUACUUACAUCUUAACCUAAACAGCUUAUCGUGUUAUCAAUGUGCAGGCAAGCGACAGGGAAAACAAAGGAAUAGAAGAGAAGAAAAGAGAAGGCGACAGAAAACAACUCGGGUCUGAAUUAGCAAUGAAAGGACACGAAUGAAUGAUAUGUUUACUUACAUCUUAACCUAAACAGCUUAUCGUGUUAUCCAUGUGAAGGCGAGUGACGGGGAAAACAAAGGAAUAGAAGAAAAGAGAAGGCGACAGAAAACAACUCGGGUCUGAAUUAGCUAUGAAAGGACACGAGUGAAUGAUAGGUUUGUUUGCAUCUUGACUUAAACAGCCUGUCUUCUUAUCCAUGUGCUGGCAAAUGACGGGGACAAGAGAGGAACAAAAGAGAGCGAAAGGAAGCAAAAGAGAAGGCGACAGAAAACAACUCGGGUCUGAAUUAGCUAUGAAAGGACACGAAUGAAUGAUAGGUUUACUUACAUCUUAACUUUAACAGGCUAUCGUGUUAUCUAUGUGCAGGCAAGCGACAGGGAAGACAAAAGAAUAGAAGAGAGCUAAAAAAAAGGCGACAGAAAACAACUCGGGUCUGAAUUAGCUAUGAAAGGACGCGAAUGUAAGGCUUGUUUACAUCUUAACUUUAACAGGCUAUCGUGUUAUCUAUGUGCAGGCAAGCGACAGGGAAGACAAAAGAAUAGAAGAGAGCUAAAAAGAAGGCGACAGAAAACAACUCGAGUUUGAAUUAGCUAUGAAAGGACACGAAUGAAUGAUAGGUUUGUUUACAGCUUAACCUAAACAGCUCAUCGUGUUAUCCAUGUGAAGGCGAGUGACAGGGAAGAGAGAGGAACAAAAAAGAGCGAAAGGAAGCAAAAGAGAAGGCGACAGAAAACAACUCGAGUCUGAACUAGCUAUGAAAGGGCGCGAAUUAAUGAAAGGUUUGUUUACAUCUUAACUUAAACAGCCUGUCGUGUUAUCUGUGUGCAGACAAGCGACAGAGAAGACAAAGGAAUAGAAGAGAAGAAAAGAGAAGGCGACAGAAAACAACUCGGGUCUGAAUUAGCUAUGAAAGGACACGAAUGAAUGAUAGGUUUGUUUACAGCUUAACCUAAACAGUCUGUCGUGUUAUCCAUGUGAAGGCGAGUGACAGGGAA